rnacentral:lncRNA from 1 species
AAAAGCUAAGUUUGGGGUAAAAACCCCAAAAGCUCUCAAAGCCCAAGAAAGUGCAAAAACAAAAGAAAAAGAAAAUUUGAUGAAUCGAGAAAAAGAAAGAAAAAUAAAAAUUGAAUACUCGAAGAUUCAAAAGAAAGAAGCACGGAAAAGGGUCGUCGGUAAAAAAAUAAGAAAAGAAAACCGAGGAAAUAAAAGAAACAAACACAGGAUGUAACAUCGACUCUGAACCAAAAGCCCCUUGUUUUCCUUUUUGAAUCCAUACCCUAACC